CCCCUCUCAGAAUCGCACCUGGAGAGUUUCCAGUACUCUACCAGUCUCAGCUACGGGAGGGAGAGUCAAGCGGUGGCAUACUAUUCCAUUCCUAGUUUGGCCAGUGGCUAGCGAAUUGAAGGCAAUCUGCUACAAGU